AUUGAACGCUGGCGGCAGGCCUAACACAUGCAAGUCGAGCGGAGCGGCGGACGGGUGAGUAAUGCCUAGGAAUCUGCCUGGUAGUGGGGGAUAACGUCCGGAAACGGGCGCUAACACCGCAUACUAUCAGAUGAGCCUAGGUCGGAUGAGCUAGUUGGUGGGGUAAAGGCCUACCAGGGCGACGAUCGGAAACUGGUCUGAGAGGAUGAUCAGUCACACUGGAACUGGGACACGCUCCGAGCUCCAACGGGAGGCAGCAGUGGGGAAUUUUAGACAAUGGGCGAAAUCCUAAUCCAGCCAUGCCGCGUGUGUGAAGAAGGUCUUCGGGUUGUAAGGCACUUUAAGUUGGGAGACGUUACCAACAGAGUAAGCACCGGCUAACUUCGUGCCAGCAGCCGCGGUAAUAC
rnacentral:rRNA from 1 species